UUUCUCAACUUGUCUGUAGUUUGAACUGGGUCUUAAGGGAUGAAUUGGAGAGUGCUAGAAAAGAAGUUGAAGAUAACAUUCCACGAAGAGAUAACAGGUCCUUAAAGGGUUAGUAGAGUAAAUAAAAGUACACAAAAGUUCUGGUAACACCGAGUGUGAGAUGUAUGGCCAUGAAGAAAGUGAGACCAACAGAGAAUGGUGGGAGUUAUUCCUGAAGGCCGCUGAAAAGCACUGUUUUACCUGUUUAAAUAGGUUCCUAUAAAUCAUUGAUAAAAAUUGAUCCCUGAGUAACCUGCAUUAGGAUCACUUGUGUUGACUAGUAAAAAAUGAAUUUUGGGUCCCCCUCAGACUUAAUCAGACUUUCUGAGGAUGGCGCCAGGCCAUCUGAAUUUUGUCUCCUAGGUGAUUGUUAGGCCAUUAAAAGCUGAAAGUGACCGCCAUAGACAGUGUAAUGCUGACAGAGGUCUUUAGGCCAAGAGUUGACAUGAGUAAUUUUAAUACUUUUCAGGAAAACAACUUGAAUUUAAUUGUAAAGAACAGACCAAAGGGAACCUGGUUGGCAGGGAAAUGAAAUAGAACCAAUUAUAAUGGUACAUCAGUUGUAAUAAGUUUGUUUCUCUAAGGUAGGGUCUCAACCUCAGGACUAUUCACAUUUGGGGCCAAAUAAUAUAUAGCUGUGGGUUGCUGUGCUGUCCUUUGCAGGGUAUUUAGCUACAACCCUGGCCUCGUAACCCAUUAAAUGCCAAUAGGCCUCCCAGUUGUGAAAACCAGAAAUGUUUCCUCGUAUUGCCAGAUGUGCCAUGCUGGGCAAAAUCACAAGAGGUGAGACUCAAUGCUUUAGGAUGCCCAGAACUGAAGACGCUGAGUUGUAGGGCAUGACAGUGCUCAACUGCACUAGUAAACCAAAGUGGUUUUCUGAAAAGGUUGUACCUAUUUGUACCCUGGUCAGCUGUGGUUAGGAAUUUCCAAUAUUUGAUGCUUUCAAUGACAUUUCUUGUUUGAAUUGUUAUUUUAUUUGCCUCAUUGCUAGUGUUAUUGAGCAUUUUUUUCCAAAUAUUUGACUAUUCCUUUUCUGGGAAGUGUGUUUCAAUUUUUUGUGGUACUGGGGAUUGAACCCAGCACUUCACACAUGCUAGGCAAUUGCUCUACCACUGAGUUAUAUCCCCAGCUCUGUGUGUGUGUGUACAUACAUGUAUAUGUGUAUACAUAUGUAUUUUAAAUAUUUUUUAGUUGUCAAAAACGGAUCUUUAUUUUAUUUAUUUAUUUGUGGUGCUGAGAAUCAAACACAAUGCCUCACAAAUGCUAGGCAAACCCUCCACCACUAAGCCACAGCUGCAGCCCAUUCUUUUUAUAUUUUAAAUGCCAGUUCCUUCUCAGUUUUACCUUGGUCUCCCACCCCAGUCUCUCUCUCUUUUAGUUGUUGAUGGACUUUUAUUUAUUUAUAUGUGGUGCUGGGAAUCGAACCCAGUGGCAAGCUUUUUGCCACUGAGCUACAACCCCAGCCCCUCAGAUUUCUUAAUGGAUUAAAUCUUUCUUUAUUUACCUACAUUAUCUUCUAAAGGUUUAUGUUUUUCCUUUCAUCUUUAGGUUUACCAAAAAUUGAUUUUUGUGUUCAUUAUGAGAUAGCCAUCCAAAUUCAAUUUUUCUCCAUGUGAAAAUUAGCUAUCCCAGCAAUAUUUAUUGAAAAGACUGUCCUUUCCCUACCAAUUUUCAUUCCUAUCUCUGUCAUAUAUCAAAACUAUCCAUCCAUUCCUUAGUGUGUUUCUGGGCACUUAAUUCUGUUUCAUUGCUUUAUUUGUAUAUCCUUGGGCCAGUGCCACAUUGUCUUAAUGUAGUUUUUAACUACAUUUUGUUAUCUGAUAAGGCAGCUUCUACCUUUUCAUUAUUCAAGAAUGGACUUUUACUCUUUCAUAUAUAUUUUAGAUUUGCUUUUCAAGUUUAACAAAAAUUUUGUUGGUCUUUUU
rnacentral:lncRNA from 1 species